rnacentral:rRNA from 1 species
GGAUUGNCANUGGGCGAAAGCCUGAUGCAGCGACCCCGCGUGGGGGAUGACGGCCUUCGGGUUGUAAACCCCUUUCAGCACAGACGAAGCGCAAGUGACGGUAUGUGCAGAAGAAGGACCGGCCAACUACGUGCCAGCAGCCGCGGUAAUACGUAGGGUCCGAGCGUUGUCCGGAAUUACUGGGCGUAAAGAGCUCGUAGGUGGUUUGUCACGUUGUUCGUGAAAACCCACAGCUCAACUGUGGGCGUGCGAGCGAUACGGGCAGACUAGAGUACUGCAGGGGAGACUGGAAUUCCUGGUGUAGCGGUGGAAUGCGCAGAUAUCAGGAGGAACACCGGUGGCGAAGGCGGGUCUCUGGGCAGUAACUGACGCUGAGGAGCGAAAGCGUGGGGAGCGAACAGGAUUAGAUACCCUGGUAGUCCACGCCGUAAACGGUGGGUACUAGGUGUGGGUUUCCUUCCUUGGGAUCCGUGCCGUAGCUAACGCAUUAAGUACCCCGCCUGGGGAGUACGGCCGCAAGGCUAAAACUCAAAAAAAUUGACGGA